ensembl:lncRNA
CUGGCGGUGGGAAAUGUGCCCCUCUGGGGAGGGAGGACUGGGCGGGAAAGGCAAAGCCCCUCAUCGCACUCUGGGCAGCGGUUCUCAACCCCUCACAAAGUCAAGCACCACCGAGGUCGUAGCCGUGAACUUCAGGGCCCUGGAAAUGAACGCGGGCAUGUUUCAAGCAAGAGCACCCAGCACAGUUGUCACACAGCGCGUGGUUCGGAGAAGCCUCUGUACCCGGGCGAACAGGCGGGACAAAGUCAAGGCGCUGGAAUUACUGUGAAAACAAUUUUGACCUUGAAGGCCUUCUGAAGGUUUCUGCGACCCCGGGGUGCCUGCACGGAGCUUAGGGGACCUCGAUCUGGGCAGGGCGGGCGGCCAGGGUGCAGGUUCCCACCCCGGCUCCACCCGCUGCGCGACAGGCAGGUGGUGGGUGGCGGAGCCGCUGCGGUCAGGUGCUCGCAGGCGCAGGCGCUGCGCGGCGGCCUCCUCGGCUGCCACCCUGCCGCUGUCCAGCUCCAGGCGCUGAGGCGGCCCGGGUUGGUCCAGGGACCCGCCGUCCUUACGGGGUGCCGUGGCGGGUCUCCUCCUGGGUGCCUACAGUGACUCCGAGUGGGGCUGUGAGUGGGUCAGAUGGCAGGCCUGCCCCUGCUGUGUGCACCCAGCUCCGCGUGCCUGUGUGAGUGUGGCCUUGGUGUGGAAGUGGGCACGUCCGCCUGUGGCCGUGUGGGGUGUGGGGAGGACGUGGUGGGGUGUCCCGGAGCCCUAGGGAGGGGGUCGUGUGCGUGUGUGUGUAUACGUGUGCCCCUUGAGCCCGCUUGUGCCUGCAUGUGUGUGUGCGGGCAUGUGUGUGUGUGUGUGCGUGCGUGUGUGUGCAUGGGUGCAUGAGCUCUGCCUGCGCUGCUGGCUGGCUGCCUGGAGUCAGGACUGAGCCACUGGGAAACCCGUGGGCGGCUGGAUGCAGGCGGCUCUGGGCAGCUUUCUUGGCCAGUCCUGCAGCCGCCCGAGGCCCUGCUGGGCGGGUCGGGGUGGAAAGGAGUCUGGAGUCCGCAGAAGCCUCCUCCUUUCCUGGCUUCACCUGCUCCUCCUGGUGUCUCUCCGUGGAGUCGGCGGGGAGGAGCCGCGGAAGCCGGGGCAGCCGUGACUGCACCAGGAAGAACAGCUCAGGCGUGGGCACGUGGGCUGUGAGCCCAGCCGAGAUCGCUGCCAGCACAGAGGUCCAAUCCACCCCGCGUCAGGGCCUGGACCAUGGGCCUGAGGUGUGGGUGGGGGAGAUGCCAAGACCAGAAGGAGGGUGUCAACAGAGCAUCAGGAGGCACUGACCCCAGAGCCCCUCCACGUCCCCGGGAACGGCCGGCCCCCCGUCGCCGCCGAGGGCCCUCGACCAGGAUGGACAGCCAGGGGAAGGCUGCUUGUCUCCACGCCUCUCCGACGGCUCUUCUUCCGGCCCCUCCAGCCCAGGUGGAAUCCUUGAAGCUGGAGUCAGGACUGCCGGGCUUGCGGAGACGUGGGCUCCCCAGGAAGUGCUGAGCCCAUGAUCAGAGCUGCACCCCCACAAGAAGUCACCAUGUGGAUCCCCAGAGGGGAUACUCCGGAAGUGCUUCCAUUCGGCCACCAGCAGCUGUGAUGUCCCCUGACCGUGCAUCCUGGGUCCCAGGGGAUGGUGGGUAGGGGAGCCAGGCGAGGAAGUGAGUCACAGCCCUGUGGGGUGAGCUCCCCGAGGGGAAGGGAUUGCGUAGAGUACUUGGGGGAAUUUGUGAGCCUUCAAGCUGGCCUCUGCUGCGACAGGGGCCAGCAGCCUCGUCCGCUCUGUAGUCCACUCCGGCUGCUCCCUGUAGCCAGGGGUGCGGCAUGGCAGGAACAGGCCACAGGGCAAGGGAGGAGUGUGGUGGGCUCAGAAGGCUCUGGGGAGAGGGUGCCUUGCUCCUGGUGCUGAAAGGACAGCGCCCGGCUUGGGCAGAGGCCGCGCCAAGUCCUGGCGGAAGCUUUUCCGCAAACUGGAGUGGGGCGUCAUGUGCAUCUGAAUUUUUCCACUCCUCUUCUCUGGAGCCUGUCAGUGCCGUCUUGGCAAAGAUGGUUUGAGCCUGAAAGCUUUUCCCAUCUAUUUUUAAAUAAAUGGAAUUCCUGUCACUUGCA